UUUUUGGUUGCUUUUUUUUUUUUUUUUUUUUUUUUUUUUUUCUGUGCGCGUGUGUUUAAACGGCGGGAGAGAACAAACGCUGUGCGUGGCACUGGCAAACUGGCUUUGAAAUACCCCUUGCAUCCCACUCCCAUGAUGAAGACUCCAUUCCCUAGGCCAAGUUCUCUGCGCUGCUCCGUGGGUUCCCUUUCUGACGGUGGCUGCUCCGUGGCUGCUCGCCCACCCAGAUGACUCCACGGACGUGGAUCUGCACCGACCUCUGCCUCAGCGUGCGGGCUGAUGGAGGAUCGUGGUGCUGUGCCGGGGAUGCGGCGAUGUUGCUGCCGCAUCAGUUUCCCUCCAUGGAUUCAUCAGCUUUGCCAGGUGGGGGGUUUCAAGAAAGCAGGUACCUGCAAAGCUGUUGCAACAUGUAAUGGAAGCCCGAUGGGAGGGAGCCGCUUGCUCACGGAGCCGUACCACGGGCUGAUGAUUCAGAAGCCUGCAUGCCACCAGCUCUGCACAGCGAGAGGAGGAAGGUGCUGACUCUCCUGGUAGCGCUGCUGGCACGAGGCGGUGGUGAAGUCAGGGCUCUAUUUGCUCUGUCACGCGAUGCAAUUAGGAAAGAUCUGCUCCUUCUGUGACUGCUGUCUGAACCAGCAAGCGCAUAUUGGAAUGGAAACCGUCUCUGUGUGGGCAGAGAUGUUGACAGUGCCACUUGGUUGCCCAAUAGGUUCCUGAUUACACAUUAAGCUGGUGCACGGGGAGAAGGAAUACUGCUUGCUCUAAUGAAAAGAUACAGUGGGCGAGGAGAAGGACACCAGAUCAACGUUCAGAGUUUCUUCGCUGGAUGUGACAGCUGGAGGAGCUUGGCUGCUGCUGCUAGCUCUUGAUAGGCAUGUAUAGACAAACAGCAUGUGAGCCUUUCUUCCUCCUCGUGUGAUCUUAGCGGAGUUUUCUCUCAGCCUCCCUGUACCUGUAAUACUUGAUAUAGUCUUGGAGGAAGUCAGCCCAUCACUCCAGCAGUAGCAUGGGAUUUGCAGCUGUUGCCUGCAUUUAGACCGCGGUCCUGGGGUUUGUCCACAUGCCCUCUUGCAGGCUCGCCCAGCCCUGCCAGACUUGGCCUGUCCACUUGAGCAGCUCACAAUCUCGCUUGGUUCUAGAAAUCCAUAUUUUCAGAGCAAAGGCCCGUGUGAAGAGGAAGAGCGAUGAGGGAGACAACGCAGACUGGAAGAGCACACAGAAGGGAGAGCAUUUGUCAGCGCUGCUUGCAGAGGCGCAGCCGUGGCCACCAGGCUCCAUUUACCUGCCCAGUUGCUGGGCCUUCCUGAAUGUACUAGAGAUUAGCAGGGCAGGAAAACACCUGCUUCCACUUAACCGAUCCGAGAGGAAACAAAAGGCAAGAAAAGCUAUGGCCUGUGCAACGCAGGACUGGAUGAAAGGUAAUAUGCAGCUUCAGAUUGGCAGUUGGCAGCCAUAACCCUCAAUUUAAAGCAGCUGAGAGUCCCAGCUCUUUAGAUCUGAAAUCUUGCUGCUAUGAAGAUGAAAGACUUUGUU